GAUGAACGCUAGCGGCAGGCCUAAUACAUGCAAGUCGAGGGGUAUGGGUUGCUUGCAACCCAGAGACCGGCGCACGGGUGCGUAACGCGUAUGCAAUCUACCUUAAUCAGGGGGAUAGCCCGGAGAAAUCCGGAUUAACACCGCAUAACAUUGAGUUGUGGCAUCACAGUUCAAUCAAAUAUUUAUAGGAUUAAGAUGAGCAUGCGUGACAUUAGUUAGUUGGUGAGGUAACGGCUCACCAAGACCACGAUGUCUAGGGGAUCUGAGAGGAUGACCCCCCACACUGGUACUGAGACACGGACCAGACUCCUACGGGAGGCAGCAGUAAGGAAUAUUGGUCAAUGGGCGCAAGCCUGAACCAGCCAUUCCGCGUGCAGGAAGACGGCCCUAUGGGUUGUAAACUGCUUUUGUACCGGAAUAAACCUUCUCUUGCGAGAGAAGCUGAACGUACGGUAAGAAUAAGGAUCGGCUAACUCCGUG
rnacentral:rRNA from 1 species